rnacentral:rRNA from 1 species
GCGGUAGGCCUUUCGGGGUCACGAGCGGCGAACGGGUGAGUAACACGUGGGUGAUCUGCCCUGCACUUCGGGAUAAGCCUGGGAAACUGGGUCUAAUACCGGAUAUGACCUCCUAUCGCAUGGUGGGUGGUGGAAAGAUUUAUCGGUGCAGGAUGGGCCCGCGGCCUAUCAGCUUGUUGGUGGGGUAAUGGCCUACCAAGGCGACGACGGGUAGCCGACCUGAGAGGGUGACCGGCCACACUGGGACUGAGACACGGCCCAGACUCCUACGGGAGGCAGCAGUGGGGAAUAUUGCACAAUGGGCGAAAGCCUGAUGCAGCGACGCCGCGUGAGGGAUGACGGCCUUCGGGUUGUAAACCUCUUUCAGCAGGGACGAAGCGCAAGUGACGGUACCUGCAGAAGAAGCACCGGCUAACUACGUGCCAGCAGCCGCGGUAAUACGUAGGGUGCAAGCGUUGUCCGGAAUUACUGGGCGUAAAGAGUUCGUAGGCGGUUUGUCGCGUCGUUUGUGAAAACCAGCAGCUCAACUGCUGGCUUGCAGGCGAUACGGGCAGACU